ACCCUGAUCCAGCCAUGCCGCGUGUGUGAAGAAGGCUUUCGGGUUGUAAAGCACUUUCAGUAGGGAGGAAAACCUUAUGGCUAAUACCCAUGAGGCUUGACGUUACCUACAGAAGAAGCACCGGCUAACUCCGUGCCAGCAGCCGCGGUAAUACGGAGGGUCCCAAGCGUUAAUCGGAAUUACUGGGCGUAAAGCGCGCGUAGGUGGUUUGGUAAGCGAGAUGUGAAAGCCCCGGGCUUAACCUGGGAACGGCAUUUCGAACUGUCAGACUAGAGUGUGGUAGAGGGUAGUGGAAUUUCCUGUGUAGCGGUGAAAUGCGUAGAUAUAGGAAGGAACACCAGUGGCGAAGGCGGCUACCUGGACCAACACUGACACUGAGGUGCGAAAUUUUUUUGGAGCAAACAGGAUUAGAUACCCUGGUAGUCCACGCCGUAUACUAUGUCAACUAGCCGUUGGGACUCUUGAAGUCUUAGUGGCGCAGCUAACGCACUAAGUUGACCGCCUGGG
rnacentral:rRNA from 1 species